ACACCUCAACUCUCAUGGCUUUGCCAUGAUGAGCUUGGACUUUGGGGGUCUUGCUGGCCUGUGGUCAGCUCCUCUCAAACAAAUUAGCUUGCCAGUGUUUGGUGGCAUCACAGGUGUGAUAACUAUCUACGCUUGUGGUUUUCCAUCAGGUAACCUUCAGUGACGAAGGUCUGCUGGGGCUCAUAAAUGUCUCUCCUCAGUGAGGACAGCUCUUUGAAC
rnacentral:misc_RNA from 1 species